rnacentral:rRNA from 1 species
GACAGAGGGUGCAAACGUUGUUCGGAAUUACUGGGCGUAAAGCGCGUGUAGGCUGCUCAGAAAGUCGGAUGUGAAAGCCCUGGGCUUAACCUAGGAAGUGCAUUCGAAACUUCUGAGCUUGAGUUCUGGAGAGGAAGGCGGAAUUCUCGGUGUAGAGGUGAAAUUCGUAGAUAUCGAGAGGAACACCGGUGGCGAAGGCGGCCUUCUGGACAGUGACUGACGCUGAGACGCGAAAGCGUGGGGAGCAAACCGG